rnacentral:misc_RNA from 1 species
GUGUUURGUUUUGAGGGAGCCAAACCUGCGCAAGCAGGCAGGUGAACUCAAAGGGGCUUUGGAUGUGCGAAAGCAGAUCGAGAGCCGGAAUGUACCUUGGAAACUGGAUAACGACUCCUAUGAAGAAGUCAAACCGACACGAACACAGUGGGUAACUGUGAGCAUGCGGAAUUUGAGACGCGAGGAAUGCGAGGAGCCGAACGCGUGAGGAAACGAGCGUACUGUAGGGUACGUGAGUGACGAGCGCGCGAAGGCGACGAAGCAGUCCGAAGCGGAUCGAAGGACGCAAACAGGUGAAGGUAGGAAGGGCGCACGGAGGAUGCCUAGGCGCCAGGAGCCGACGAAGGACGGGGCGAAC